GCAAGAAGCGAAGAAUAGCCAUACUUUGAGCUAAGGCCACAUCGUCGAACUCAAGGAUUGGUAACUGACCAAAAGGAGAUUCCGAUUAUCUUCCCAAUCAACUCCAGCCAAAGACAAAAUAAUGCGAAUCGGUUCAGCUCUUGCUCGAAAAGGAAAAUAACUCAGUUUAUAGCGACGAUUGGCUGCCAUUACAUUACGCAAUUGAUAAACAUUACGCAUCCAAGUCAUUUGAAGUCAUCUCAAUUAAGUAAUUUCAGUCGUUUGGAUAUAGAGCUCUGUCUAGAGACAAUUGGCAAUACUCUGAUAGUUAUAAUAUUUGAAUUCGUUUCUUUUGUGGACGUUAACAGAAUAUUUAAGUUCAAUGUAAAGUGGAAAAUAAAAAUAGCAAUGAUUUUUGCUUGCAUUUAUGAUUUCAACCAA